UUGAUUGAAGCCCGCCUAGAUGGGUUUUUAGUUGUUAACUAAAGGUUUAUGGGAUCGAGCCCGUCGAUCUUA
rnacentral:tRNA from 1 species